GCUGGCAGCUAGCUCUCGGCAGCUCUCACAUGGUCGCCCACUGAAGCUAAGCAGGGCUGCCCCUGGUCAGUACCUGGAUGUGAGACCACAUGGGAAAGCUGGGUUGCUGCCGGAA
ensembl:rRNA 5S_rRNA 5S ribosomal RNA